rnacentral:rRNA from 1 species
AACGAACGCUGGCGGCGUGGAUAAGACAUGCAAGUCGAACGGGGCAAUGCUUGUAGCAAUAUGAGUGUUGUUCAGUGGCGAACGGGUGCGUAACACGUGGAUACAUUCCGGAAAGCGGGGGAUAGCCCAGGGAAACUUGGAUUAAUACCGCAUGUGGUCGAAAGACUAAAGGUGGGGACCGCAAGGCCUGCCACUUCCGAUUGGUCCGCGGCCUAUCAGCUAGUUGGCGGGGUAAAGGCCCACCAAGGCUACGACGGGUAGCUGGUCUUAGAGGACGACCAGCCACACUGGAACUGGGACACGGUCCAGACACCUACGGGUGGCAGCAGUCGAGAAUCUUUCACAAUGGGGGCAACCCUGAUGGAGCGACGCCGCGUGGAGGAUAAGGUCUUCGGAUUGUAAACUCCUGUCAUGCGCGAACAAGGUUGCCGGGAUAAUACCCUGGCAAAUUGAUGGUACCGCAAGAGGAAGAGACGGCUAACUCUGUGCCAGCCGCCGCAGUAAUAC